GUCGAUGGAUCAACCAUUAACCCAUUUAAUUUUAUGGGUCAUGGGUCAACUCAACCAAUUUAAUAAAUGGGUUGGGUUGACCCAUGACCCAUUAACAAUCAACCCAUUUGGGUUAUGGGU
rnacentral:pre_miRNA from 1 species